rnacentral:tRNA from 1 species
GCGGCGGUAGCUCAGUGGUAGAGCUUCUGCCUUCCAAGCAGAUUGUCGCGGGUUCAAAUCCCGUCCGCCGCUCCA